rnacentral:lncRNA from 1 species
GGAGCAUGUUACCUACUCCCUCUACUACCCCUGAGCCAGUCCCACUUCCACCAACUACUGCCACAGAUACACCUAGCUCACCUAUUGCAACAGUUUCCCAAAAUAUGUCUCCUCCAUCUACGCCUACGGCAUCACCACCGGAGACCCCUUCUACAAACCCUGCUACUCCUCAGACUGUGUCUCCAGCGGUGCCAUCAUCACCGUCUGACUCUCCUGGUUUACUUGAACUUCUUGGUCGGGGUCAGAGGAAUAGGAAACCUUCUGUUCUACUAAAGAAUUUUGUGACACAUGCGGUAUCUUCUACACCCCCCUCUCA